UACGUAGGGUGCAAGCGUUAUCCGGAAUUAUUGGGCGUAAAGAGCUCGUAGGCGGUUUGUCGAGUCUGCUGUGAAAACCCGAGGCUCAACCUCGGGCCUGCAGUGGGUACGGGCAGACUAGAGUGCGGUAGGGGAGAUUGGAAUUCCUGGUGUAGCGGUGGAAUGCGCAGAUAUCAGGAGGAACACCGAUGGCGAAGGCAGAGCUCUGGGCCGUAACUGACGCUGAGGAGCGAAAGCGUGGGGAGCAAACAGG
rnacentral:rRNA from 1 species